rfam:Trichoderma gamsii strain T6085 Scaffolds0021.1, whole genome shotgun sequence.
GACACUUUGGCCGAGUGGUUAAGGCGAUGCCCUGCUAUCAAUCAGGUAUCUUAGGCAUUGUGUUCGCACGCGCAGGUUCGAAUCCUGCAGGUGUCG